UUUUUUUUUUUUUACCAAUUUUUUUUAACCAACAUUUACCAGCAAUUUAUUUUUCAAACUUUUUUUCGCCUCAUUUGUCCCCUUCCUUCUGGGGCUGCAGUUGCUUCUGUGUUGUUACACUUGAUCUCGUCCUGGCUCUCAGAGGCUCUGUUCAUUUUUCUGUCUCUCUUUACUUGCCAUUUUCUCAGCAUGUCACACAGCGAGAUCAUAAGCACAUUGUUCGUCUCUUCCAAAUCCUGGGCCUCACUUUGCCCAUCUGUGAAGCAGGCUGAUAAUCCCCACAUUCUCAGGUGUUGUGUGGAUGGAAUAGGAACGAGAUAGGUGGAAAGCCCGUUCCAGGAACUGGGCUACUGGGUGCUCCACCCCAUGGGUGUUCUAGCCAUAGUGUUGGCAGAACCAUGGCAAAGCAACAGCUGUGCCUUCUGGAUCUUUCAUCACAUUGCAAAACCAGGAUUCUGAUGAGCUCGCAGACACUUCCUAGUACCUGUAGAUUUGAUUGACUCUGAUUAUGCUUCUCCUAUAAUUUCCUGCUUUUCAGUCAAACUGAACCCAUUCUUGUUUCUCAUACAGUCCCACCUUCUGCCUUUAUGCAUACAUCUAACUGCCACUAGCUGUUGAACUCCUACUCAACCUUCAAGACCCACUCAAAUGCCACCCGUCCACAAAGCUUUUCCUGAUCCCCCAGAAGGUGGUGCUCCUUUUAAUUCAUUGCCUUAAUUAGGGGGGUGAGGCAGGUUUCAUCCCCUUUCUGAGCCUGGAAGCUUCUAGGGUAGGGACCAUAUCUAUUUUGUUUCUGUGUCCUGGGACCUGUGCCUGACUCAGUGGCCUGUGUGUGUGUGUGGGGGAAAUGCAAGGGACUUUUCCAGAAAGUGAGACUGAGACCAUGGAGUGUACGAGUGGAUCCUGAGGCAGAAGCCCAGCAGCCCAGUGUCCAAACUGACCUCUGCCUCCAUCACAGCUUGCCUGGCCUGGUUCUGCCUGAGCAUCCUGCCAGCUGAGCUGCUCAGCAGUGAAUGCCCUUUCAUUCCCAUCAGCUUCCCUCAGCUCCCCAGAGAAAUCAGCUGUGCCCUGGGGAAGCCCUCGUGGAGGUAAGAUUAGGUGUAAUUUUGUUAACAAGAAUGUUCACCAAAUGUCAAAACUUGGCUUUCUCUGUCUCAACAAAGCCUUCCUGACAGAGCCAUGUCCCCAGGGAGAUGCAGCAAGCAGGUCCCUGUGGCAUGUGAACAGCUGAAAGCCAGCUGCCAGAAGGAUUGCAGCCAAGCGCUGCCAGCAGCAGACUGUCUCAUUUGUGGAAUCCGACGUGCAGUGUUACUGGGAAACACCUUUGCCCAGGUGUGUUGGCCCCACCCUCUAGGAAGAGGGUAGUGGAACUGAGAGCUGAUUUUGAAGAGAGUUGAGAGCUGGGAGCCAGCUUGUGGGGUGAAGGAGAAGAAAGCCCUGCCGGUCAGAGGGCUCGGAUUCCAGGCCCUCAGAUUCCCUUCCUUCCAGCCCGGAGUGAUAUCGGGGUUCCAUGGCUGGGGAUAUGCCCACUGGAUUUCAGGUUGUCAUCAUGGAGUGUUUAUGGAGCAUCUACUGUAUGCCCAGCACACUGGCUCAGGGAUUAGAGAACCUGGAUCUGCUGUUUGUAGGAUGACAACCACUCUUGCCUGUUGGGACCUCGCUUCCUCAGCUGUAAAGUGGGGACAAUGAUGGGGACAGUGAUGAUGAAAGCAUCUAUUUAAGAAGCACUUUCUUUUUUAUUUUUUAAAAUUUUAUUGAAGUAUAGUUGAUUUAUAAGGUUGGGAUAAUUUCUGCUGUACAACGAAGUGAUUCAGUUAUACAUAUACCCAUAUACAUUCUUUUUCAUAUUCUUUUCCCAUAUAGAUCAUCACAGAAUCUUGGGUAGAAUUCCCUGUGCUCUACAGCAGGUCCCUGUUGGCUGGUCAUCCCCUAUACUUCAGUGUGCAGAUGCCAAUCCCAACCCCCUAGUCUAUCCCUCCCUACUACCUGGUCCCUUGGUAACCAUAAGUUUAUUUUCAAAGUCUGUGAGUCUGUUUUGUUCUGCAAAUAAGUUCAUUUGUACCCUUUAUAAAAGAUUCCACAUAUAAACAAUAUUAUAUGAUGUUUGUCUGUCACUAACUUCACUUAGUUUGAUAACUCUAGGUCCAUCCAUGUGGCUGCAAAUGGCAUUAUUUCAUUCCUUUUUUAUGACCGAGUAAUAUUCCAUUGCCUAUGUGUACCACCUCUUCUUUAUCCAUUCCUGUCAGUGGAUAUUCAUCCAUUCUUNCCUACACCACAGCUCACGGCAACGCCGGAUCGUUAACCCACUGAGCAAGGGCAGGGACCGAACCCGCAACCUCAUGGUUCCUAGUCGGAUUCGUUAACCACUGCGCCACAACGGGAACUCCCAUCCAUUCUUGUUAAUAAGAAUGGAUAUUCAUUCAUUGACAGGAGUGGAUAAGGAGAAC
rnacentral:lncRNA from 1 species